rnacentral:rRNA from 1 species
GCUGGAAUUCGGCUUAGAGUUUGAUCCUGGCUCAGAUUGAACGCUGGCGGCAGGCCUAACACAUGCAAGUCGAGCGGAUGAGAAGAGCUUGCUCUUCGAUUCAGCGGCGGACGGGUGAGUAAUACCUAGGAAUCUGCCUGGUAGUGGGGGACAACGUUUCGAAAGGAACGCUAAUACCGCAUACGUCCUACGGGAGAAAGCAGGGGACCUUCGGGCCUUGCGCUAUCAGAUGAGCCUAGGUCGGAUUAGCUAGUUGGUGAGGUAAUGGCUCACCAAGGCGACGAUCCGUAACUGGUCUGAGAGGAUGAUCAGUCACACUGGAACUGAGACACGGUCCAGACUCCUACGGGAGGCAGCAGUGGGGAAUAUUGGACAAUGGGCGAAAGCCUGAUCCAGCCAUGCCGCGUGUGUGAAGAAGGUCUUCGGAUUGUAAAGCACUUUAAGUUGGGAGGAAGGGUACUUACCUAAUACGUGAGUAUUUUGACGUUACCGACAGAAUAAGCACCGGCUAACUCUGUGCCAGCAGCCGCGGUAAUACAGAGGGUGCAAGCGUUAAUCGGAAUUACUGGGCGUAAAGCGCGCGUAGGUGGUUUGUUAAGUUGGAUGUGAAAUCCCCGGGCUCAACCUGGGAACUGCAUCCAAAACUGGCAAGCUAGAGUAGGGCAGAGGGUGGUGGAAUUUCCUGUGUAGCGGUGAAAUGCGUANAUAUAGGAAGGAACACCANUGGCGAANGGCGACCACCUGGGNNUCAUACUGACACUGAGGUGCNAAANGCGNGGGNAGCAAACNGGAUUAGAUACCCUGGNUAGUCCACGCCNUNAACGAUGNUCAACNUANCCNGUUNGGANUCCUUGANAUUUUANUGGCNNCANCUAANCGCAUUAAGUUGACCGCCUGGGGAGUACGGCCGCAAGGUUAAAACUCAAAUGAAUUGACGGGGGCCCGCACAAGCGGUGGAGCAUGUGGUUUAAUUCGAAGCAACGCGAAGAACCUUACCAGGCCUUGACAUGCAGAGAACUUUCCAGAGAUGGAUUGGUGCCUUCGGGAACUCUGACACAGGUGCUGCAUGGCUGUUGUCAGCUCGUGUCGUGAGAUGUUGGGUUAAGUCCCGUAACGAGCGCAACCCUUGUCCUUAGUUACCAGCACGUUAUGGUGGGCACUCUAAGGAGACUGCCGGUGACAAACCGGAGGAAGGUGGGGAUGACGUCAAGUCAUCAUGGCCCUUACGGCCUGGGCUACACACGUGCUACAAUGGUCGGUACAGAGGGUUGCCAAGCCGCGAGGUGGAGCUAAUCUCACAAAACCGAUCGUAGUCCGGAUCGCAGUCUGCAACUCGACUGCGUGAAGUCGGAAUCGCUAGUAAUCGCGAAUCAGAAUGUCGCGGUGAAUACGUUCCCGGGCCUUGUACACACCGCCCGUCACACCAUGGGAGUGGGUUGCACCAGAAGUAGCUAGUCUAACCUUCGGGAGGACGGUUACCACGGUGUGAUUCAUGACUGGGGUGAAGUCGUAACAAGGUAGCCGUAGGGGAACCUGCGGCUGGAUCACCUCCUUAAGCC